UAUUCUUUUUGAAGGAAAUUGGGGCCGGCGAGCGGCGACUCGGGAGUAGGCACAUGGAGGUCCGCCGUCCGCGCCGCCGCCGCCGACCUCCGCUGGUUCGCCGCGAUGCCGCGCGGGACUCCGCCAAAUCCAGGCUCCGAGUACCCUUUGCGCGCGGCCGCCGGUGACGGCCUGAGCUUCUCGGGAGGUGCUUCCGUUGCUGCGGCGGCGCGCGCGUCGAGGGAGCGAGGUGCCCACAGAAUGCCACAGUCGGUGCCUCCGAGUUGAGACGGAGACGUACAUGCCCCUGCCCCUGGUGCAGAGCGAGCCGCCACAUCCGGCCUCCAAGUUCCUGGUGGCUGGCUGCGCGUGAGCUCUGGCGCCCGGCGCGGCUAUACGGCGGCGGGCUCCACUCCUCACCUCGCAGGGCUCCGCACUGUAAGAUCCUCGUCCCUCCUCAACACGGCAAGCACGUACGGCACCAUCUUCGCUUAGCUUGUUCGCUCACUCAUCUCGGUCCGUGGCGCCGCCGGUUUGGAUUGCGCUGCCGGCGGGGUUGCCCGCCAAGUGCUUGACGCUUUGGCUACGAGGAGCAACCAGUGCACAACGUGUUCUCCUGCAGUUUUGCUUAAUGAUCCCGGGCGAGCGCGCGAGCAAACGCCGUUAGGCUGCCAAAAAUUUCCGCCGCCACCCAUGCGCGCGUCUUCUCCACCGCCGCCCGCUCCCAGCCACCGCCGCCGCCCGCUCCCGGCCUCCCCUCCGCGCGCGGCCUCAAGCUUCCCUCCGCGCGGUGCCUCCCUUCCCCACGCCUCCUCCCCGCGAGCGGCGGCGCCAUUCGUCACGCCUUUGCCCAGCCCUUCGCCGGUGACGGGCAUCCACCAGCCGCGGACGCCGUCCCCGCGAAAAGCCCGCGUCCGGCCGCCUCCAAGGUCCACGCCGCCGUGCUUGUCUGCCUCUUCGAGGACCCCAACGACGGGCCCCGGGUCCUCCUCACCAAGCGCGCUUCCUCCCUCAACUCGC